CCCUACGGGGCGCAGCAGUGGGGAAUAUUGGACAAUGGAGGGAACUCCGAUCCAGCAAUUCUGUGUGUGUGAAGAAGGUUUUAGGACUGUAAAACACUUUUAGUAGGGAAGAAAAAAAUGACGGUACCUACAGAAGAAGCAACGGCUAAAUACGUGCCAGCAGCCGCGGUAAUACGUAUGUUGCGAGCGUUAUCCGGAAUUAUUGGGCUUAAAGGGCAUCUAGGCGGUAAGACAAGUUGAAGGUGAAAACCUGUGGCUCAACCAUAGGCUUGCCUACAAAACUGUUGAACUAGAGUACUGGAAAG
rnacentral:rRNA from 1 species